rnacentral:tRNA from 1 species
UGGCUCAGAGGUGAAAGCAUCUGCCUCCAAUGCAGGAAACCCGGGUUCGAUCCCUGG